GACGAACGCUGGCGGCGUGCCUAAUACAUGCAAGUCGAACGCUGAAGGAGGAGCUUGCUCUUCUGGAUGAGUUGCGAACGGGUGAGUAACGCGUAGGUAACCUGCCUGGUAGCGGGGGAUAACUAUUGGAAACGAUAGCUAAUACCGCAUAACAUUGACUAUUGCAUGAUAGUCAAUUAAAAGGUGCAAAUGCACCACUACCAGAUGGACCUGCGUUGUAUUAGCUAGUUGGUGGGGUAACGGCUCACCAAGGCGACGAUACAUAGCCGACCUGAGAGGGUGAUCGGCCACACUGGGACUGAGACACGGCCCAGACUCCUACGGGAGGCAGCAGUAGGGAAUCUUCGGCAAUGGACGGAAGUCUGACCGAGCAACGCCGCGUGAGUGAAGAAGGUUUUCGGAUCGUAAAGCUCUGUUGUAAGAGAAGAACGAGUGUGAGAGUGGAAAGUUCACACUGUGACGGUAGCUUACCAGAAAGGGACGGCUAACUACGUG
rnacentral:rRNA from 1 species